rnacentral:rRNA from 1 species
GGGAAUCUUCGGCAAUGGACGAAAGUCUGACCGAGCAACGCCGCGUGAGUGAAGAAGGUUUUCGGAUCGUAAAACUCUGUUGUUAGAGAAGAACAAGUGGGAGAGUAACUGUUCCCACCUUGACGGUAUCUAACCAGAAAGCCACGGCUAACUACGUGCCAGCAGCCGCGGUAAUACGUAGGUGGCAAGCGUUAUCCGGAUUUAUUGGGCGUAAAGGGAACGCAGGCGGUCUUUUAAGUCUGAUGUGAAAGCCCCCGGCUCAACCGGGGAGGGUCAUUGGAAACUGGGAGACUUGAGUGCAGAAGAGGAGAGUGGAAUUCCAUGUGUAGCGGUGAAAUGCGUAGAGAUAUGGAGGAACACCAGUGGCGAAGGCGGCUUCCUGGUCUGCAACUGACACUGAGGCGCGAAAGCGUGGGGAGCA